rnacentral:lncRNA from 1 species
GCAGAUUUGCUAGUCGAAGGCCUGUCAUCGACGAAGGCGUUCCUCCUUUUUGUUUUCAAAUUCGUUGAGUUUUUGUUCACAGGCCUCACUGGAGUCCCAUUCAUGUUUUACCUCAUUAAGUUUCAUCUUGAUCCGAAGGUCAGCAUUUUUUCGAAGGCUAAGGUCCUUGACAAAUUGGGUGAAGAAGACCUCAAACUCGACAAAAUACUUGAACAUUUAGGCAGGAAGAUCAUGAAGGGCAAGUGGCUCGAGGAAUUUGAAAAUAU